rnacentral:rRNA from 1 species
AUUGAACGCUGGCGGCAUGCCUUACACAUGCAAGUCGAACGGCAGCAUGGAGAGCUUGCUCUCUGAUGGCGAGUGGCGAACGGGUGAGUAAAGCAUCUGAACGUACCGUGUAGUGGGGGAUAACGUAGCAAAAGUUACGCUAAUACCGCAUACGCACUGAGGUGGAAAGCAGGGGAUCGUAAGACCUUGCGCUAGUCGAGCGGCCGAUGUCAGAUUAGCCAGUUGGUAGGGUAAAGGCCUACCAAGGCGACGAUCUGUAGGGGGUCUGAGAGGAUGAUCCGCCACACUGGGACUGAGACACGGCCCAGACUCCUACGGGAGGCAGCAGUGGGGAAUUUUGGACAAUGGGGGCAACCCUGAUCCAGCCAUGCCGCGUGAGUGAAGAAGGCCUUCGGGUUGUAAAGCUCUUUCGGCCGGGAAGAAAUCGCACAGGCUAAUACCCUGUGUGGAUGACGGUACCGGCGUAAGAAGCACCGGCUAACUACGUGCCAGCAGCCGCCGUAA